rnacentral:rRNA from 1 species
UACAUGGGGUGCAAACGUUGCUCGGAAUUAUUGGGCGUAAAGCGCACGUAGGCGGUUUGUUAAGUCGGAUGUGAAAUCCCUCGGCUCAACUGAGGAAGUGCAUCCGAAACUGGCAAGCUUGAGUACGAAAGAGGGUCGCGGAAUUCCCGGUGUAGAGGUGAAAUUCGUAGAUAUCGGGAGAAACACCGGUGGCGAAGGCGGCGACCUGGGUCGAUACUGACGCUGAGGUGCGAAAGCGUGGGGAGCAAACAGG